UACGUAGGGUGCAAGCGUUUGUCCGGAAUUAUUGGGCGUAAAGAGCUCGUAGGCGGUUCGUCACGUCGGCUGUGAAAACCUGAGGCUCAACCUCAGGCCUGCAGUCGAUACGGGCGGACUUGAGUACUGCAGGGGAGACUGGAAUUCCUGGUGUAGCGGUGAAAUGCGCAGAUAUCAGGAGGAACACCGGUGGCGAAGGCGGGUCUCUGGGCA
rnacentral:rRNA from 1 species